rnacentral:rRNA from 1 species
GCUGUGGAACUCCUACGGGAGGCAGCAGCGGGGAAUAUUGGACAAUGGGCGCAAGCCUGAUCCAGCCACGCCGCGUGAGUGAUGAAGGCCCUAGGGUUGUAAAGCUCUUUUGUGCGGGAAGAUAAUGACGGUACCGCAAGAAUAAGCCCCGGCUAACUUCGUGCCAGCAGCCGCGGUAAUACGAGGGGGGCUAGCGUUGCUCGGAAUCACUGGGCGUAAAGGGUGCGUAGGCGGGUCUUUAAGUCAGGGGUGAAAUCCUGGAGCUCAACUCCAGAACUGCCUUUGAUACUGAGGAUCUUGAGUUCGGGAGAGGUGAGUGGAACUGCGAGUGUAGAGGUGAAAUUCGUAGAUAUUCGCAAGAACACCAGUGGCGAAGGCGGCUCACUGGCCCGGAACUGACGCUGAGGUGCGAAAGCGUGGGGAGCAAACAGGAUUAGAUACCCCUGUAGUCCUACCACGU